rnacentral:misc_RNA from 1 species
UUUCCGUAGGUGAACCUGCGGAAGGAUCAUUACCAGUGUGAUUGGUCUGGAGUCAAAUCCGGCCGGUUACCCGUCCUCAUGUCACUUGUGGGUCGCAAGACCUGUUGUCCAUUUCCGUCGAGGUGGUACGCGUUGGCCGGGAGCGAUCCCGAAUGGCGACGUGCCCGCGGCGGGCCUUUUUUGCAACUCUGAAGCAAGCUGAAGUCUGAAUAUUUGAAAACAAAAGAAGAAAAACUUUCAACAACGGAUCUCUUGGCUCUGGCAUCGAUGAAGAACGCAGC